rnacentral:rRNA from 1 species
AUUUCAUUUAUUUCUGAUAAAAACGAAUCCCUUCAGAUCUUUGAAGUUAAGCUGCUGAUAGCAUCGUCAGUACUGUGGUAGGGGGUCACGCGGAAAUAAGAUGUACCAUAAGUC